rnacentral:rRNA from 1 species
AUGUGGACCUGUCUUCAUCAGCGCUAUGAGCCCUCUGGUGAUGCCUUAUACCUUUCUGUGGUUCGUCAGGAGCAUGCUCUUCAGCAGGGUGACUCUACUGUUGAUGACUUUUAUGCACAGAGUUCUGCUAUCUGGCGCCAGCUUGAUUCUCUCCGCAGUGCUGGUUGUCGUACUUGCCCCUGCUGUCAGGCUGUCCAGGCCGAUUUGGAGUUUCAUCGCGUCUACGAGUUCCUGUCUCGGCUCCGUAAGGAGUUUGAGCCCCGGCGUGCUCAGUUGCUUGCUCGUGGCCGUAUUUCUCUCAUGGAGGCGCUUUCAGAGAUUCGUGCUGAGGAGACUCGCCUACGUGGUGCUGGUUUGCUGGAGGUUCCCUCUGUGCUCGCUACUCGGGUUUCUUCCACUUCGCCGGCUGCACCGCCCCAUUCUCGCUCGAGUGCUCCGCCGCUCUUGCCCACUCCUUCUGGAGGCUCAGGUCGCCCCCGUUCACAUUGUGACUACUGCAACGAUGAUGGUCAUAUUGCGUCCCAGUGCUACACCAAGCGGAAACACCUGCGCAAGGCGCGAUCAUCCUCCUCAGGGACUUCGUCAUCUCCCUCGCCAGCUUCAGCCAUUGCUUUGACUGAACAGGAUAUUCUGAGACUUAAGCGUCUGCUCGCGGCUUCAGGUUCUUCCUCGACGGGUACUGCUGGUUCUGUGACUGAUGCUUCCCGCACUGAGCACCCGCCCUCUACACAGUCAGGUACAUUCCCAUGGGUUCUGGACUCUGGAGCUUCUUUUCAUAUGUCUUCUCAUUCUUCCGCUUUGUCCUCUCUUCGCUCGCUGGAUUCUCCUGUUCAUGUCUUUACUGCUGAUGGUACUCCACUUUCUGUUGCUAGUAGAGGCCAUCUUUCCACUCCUUAUUCUGUUCCUGAUGUUGCUCAUGUUCCUCGACUUACCAUGAAUCUGUUUUCUGCCGGUCAACUUACUGAUUCUGGUUGUCGUGUCAUCCUUGAUGUUGACUUGUUCUGUCCAGGAUCGUCGCACGCACACUCUGGUUGGGGCUGGCCCUCGCCGCCGUGA